UAACAAACCAACGCGCAAAAUCUAGCUGGCAUAUCUUUUAUCACUCGCCCACUUCCAGGCUUCCAGUUGUUUCCCCUCUUUGCCAACCUCUUCCGCGUUGCUUCUACUUGACUUCACUCUCAACCAUCACUAUAUAAAAUCUCUUCUCAUUCUUUGCUUCUUCAUUCCAUUCCUCGUUUCUUCUUUAGAUCUCUUUUGUGUCCCUUAAUUCGAUUUUUUCAUGCCAUCAAAUCUAUCAAUGGCUUCUAUUGUUUCUGCUAAUUUCUUACUCCAGCUACUGCUGUUUGUCUCUCUAUUCCAUCUCAACUUGGCAGCGAGACUGCUUACUCAAUCCACUGAAACCCAGCAAACCCUUCAGUUCCAGUACCACAAUGGGCCUCUUCUUACUGGCAAAAUUUCUAUGAAUUUGAUAUGGUAUGGCAAGUUUAAACCUUCUCAACGCGCAAUUGUCUCUGAUUUCAUUGCCUCCCUUUCAUCUCCUAAGCCGGCAAUAGCCCAACCCUCUGUCGCCACUUGGUGGAAAGCCACCGAGAAAUACUACCAUCUCAUCAAAUCUCAGAAAGCUUCUUCUCUUGCCCUCUCUUUGGGUACCCAGAUCUUAGAUGAGAGCUGUUCAUUGGGCAAAUCGCUCUCCAAUAAACAAAUUGUUCAAUUAGCAUCGAAGGGUGGCCAAAAAGAUGCUAUUAAUGUGGUUUUAACUUCAGGUGAUGUAUCAGUUGAGGGGUUCUGCUCUUCUAGGUGUGGCACUCAUGGCUCUUCAAUGGCUGCUGAAAAGAUCAAUGGCAAGAACUCCAAGUUUGCUUAUAUCUGGGUUGGUAACUCAGAGACUCAAUGCCCAGGUCAAUGUGCUUGGCCAUUCCAUCAGCCUAUUUAUGGACCACAGACCACACCCUUGAUUUCACCCAACAAUGAUGUAGGUCUUGAUGGUAUGGUCAUCAAUUUGGCUAGCCUUUUAGCUGGGACAGCCACCAACCCGUUUGGAAAUGGUUACUUCCAGGGUCCGAAGGAGGCUCCUCUAGAAGCAGCAUCGGCUUGUACUGGGAUAUAUGGUAAGGGAGCCUAUCCUGGUUAUGCUGGGGAUCUCUUGGUGGACUCAACAACUGGUGCUAGCUACAAUGCACAUGGUGUCAAUGGCAGGAAAUACCUACUCCCAGCUUUGUUUGACCCUUCAACCUCAACCUGCUCUGCUUUGGUUUAAAAAACGCUUGCUAUAUGCAUACUUGUUUGUAUCAUAUAGAUAAUUUAAUUCUUUGAUUCUUUGUACUUUAUCAAGGAGUAGCAUCCAAUAUGCAAGUUCGUUUCCAUAUGUAUACAUAAAAUUCAGUUAUUGAUAUUGCAAAACCUUAAUCUUCU
rnacentral:misc_RNA from 1 species